rnacentral:lncRNA from 1 species
CACACACACACACACACACACACACACACACACACACACACACACACACACACACACACACACGACACGAUAUACAAAUGUAGGAGGGGUGAAAUGUUGCCUGUUAUUUGAUUGUUGUACUGAAGGAAAGAUAAGUCUUUGUUGUGGGAGGGUGGGCGGUGGCUCAUGACGUCUCGGCUGUCCUUGCUCCGUGACGUCUUGAUUUGUUGAAGACUUUAUGUGGACACCAAAGACAUACGUACAUGUGUCAGGGCGCGAUGGAAUCAGGCGCUCAGCAGUUUUUGGGCAUAUAGAUGAAUUUGUAAUAAUAAAUAGUAUUUGUAUAGCGCAUGUCCCCACUCGAAAGCAAGCUCUAUCCAUGCGCUUUACACUAUAUUCUUAACCCAGCAGAUCAUAGACACUCCGAAACAUUCUCAGCUUCACGGUAUCAUCUGAAAGUUUGUUCAUUUGUCUUGAUUUUGAUGUUAAAAAUACCCAUCUAUCUUGAAUACAAGUUGAGAUAUUUGCAAUUGAAGGAGAUGGGGGUUGCCUGGUAUCAGAGGUGUGAGUAGCCAAAAAAUGGCUGCCAAAAUGUUGUGGCUUUCCUAAUUUGAAUGUCCUUUGAAACUGCAAAUUUUGCAUAUCUUAUGCCUUUGAUCAAUGGUUUUCAAAAAAUAAAAUCCACACAGAAAUAUCUAUACAGAAAUGUGUUUUUCAAUGGACAUAAAAGAUGUUGUUGAGCAAAAGAAAAAUAAUUGUGAUAAAUAUUUCCUCCCGAGCGGGACAAUGUUCGUCUCUCUUUCAUGUCAGUUUGAGGAGGGCCUGGUUCCAGCGCGAUGCCACAUGUACACACUUGUAGCCGUACACACUUGUAGCCGUACACACUUGUAGCACGCUAACGUGUCUGUAGCAUUUACCCAGUUGUUAGCCUUUUUGAAGCUGGAGGAAAUUGUACAGUAACUCUCCAUGGAAUGAAAGCGCUAACGACAGCCAGUCUCUCAGAUGUCGCCGGAUUCUUCCUCUUUCUACUCGUCUGCCUUUUGUCGGCAGUUUUUGCUCAAGCCCCGAUUUCUUCAACUUCCUGUGACAAAUCUCAGAGGAGACCAGUUUUGGAUCAGUGUUAUUUGGCUUUAGGAGACUGCCUUAAUUUCCCUACAUUAUUUUUCUUUAGCAUCACGUUUCUAUUUCUAUGCAAUAUUCUAAGAUGCACAACCAAGGCUGGUGUAAGAGAGGUGGGCAGUGGAGGAGUGGGGUGCUGCAGGCUGGAGACAUGCCCUGUCUCCUACGGAAAUCGCAUCACUCUAUGUGGGCUGCGUUAUGUGGGCUGUGGUAUGUGGGCUGUGUUAUGUGGGCCGUGUUAUGUGGGCCGUGUUAAGUGGGAUGUCUUCACGUGUCCGGCUAUGUGGGCCGUGUUACGUGGAAUGUGUUCGCACAUCACUCUAUGUGGCCUGUGUUCACGCGUCACUAUACGUGGCUGUGUUAUGUGUAUUGUGUUCACGUGUCGCUUUACGUGGGCCGUGUUAUGUGGGAUCUGUUCACAUAUGAUUCUAUGUGGGCUCCGUUAUGUGGGCUCUUCACACUGUGAUUGGGUGGAGGGUGUCGCUGGUGGGUCCUACUUCUUUGCUUUGCCUGUGUUGUUUCUGUUCGUCGGUCUUGUUUUUUGCUACGCUUUGUGACCGUUAUUGUACCGAUGUGCUUCUCUCUACUCACAACUCAAACUCUAUCCCGCUCUCAUCAUUGUUGCUAUAUGAGCCAGUUUUGUACGCUUCUCGAAAGACUUAGCGCGUAGUUGUAGACAUUUGACCGUUCUGUUGUAGACAUUUGACCAUUCUGUUGUAGACAUUUGACCGUUUUGUUGUAGACAUUUGACAUUUGACCGUUCUGUUGUAGACAUUUGACAUUUGACCGGUCUGUUGUAGACAUUUGACCGUUUUGUUGUAGACAUUUGACAUUUGACAGUUCUGUUGUAGACAUUUGACAUUUGACCGUUCUGUUGUAGACAUUUGACCGUUUUGUUGUUGACAUUUGACCGUUCUGUUGUAGACAUUUGACCGUUUUGUUGUAGACAUUUGACCGGUCUGUUGUAGACAUUUGACCUUUGCAAACAUUAGACCGUUCUGUUGUAGACAUUUGACCGUUCUGUUGUAGACAUUUGACAUUUGACCGUUCUGUUGUAGACUUUUGACUGUUCUGUUGUAGACAUUUGACAUUUGACCGUUCUGUUGUAGACAUUUGACCGGUCUGUUGUAGACAUUUGACCUUUGCAAACAUUAGACCGUUCUGUUGUAGACAUUUGACCGUUCUGUUGUAGACAUUUGACAUUUGACCGGUCUGUUGUAGACAUUUGACCGUUUUGUUGUAGACAUUUGACAUUUGACCGUUCUGUUGUAGACAUUUGACAUUUGACCGUUCUGUUGUAGACAUUUGACAUUUGACCGUUCUGUUGUAGACAUUUGACCGUUCUGUUGUAGACAUUUGACAUUUGACCGUUCUGUUGUAGACUUUUGACUGUUCUGUUGUAGACAUUUGACAUUUGACCGUUCUGUUGUAGACAUUUGACCGUUUUGUUGUUGACAUUUGACCGUUCUGUUGUAGACAUUUGACCGUUUUGUUGUAGACAUUUGACAUUUGACAGUUCUGUUGUAGACAUUUGACAUUUGACCGUUCUGUUGUAGACAUUUGACCGUUUUGUUGUAGACAUUUGACCGGUCUGUUGUAGACAUUUGACCUUUGCAAACAUUAGACCGUUCUGUUGUAGACAUUUGACCGUUCUGUUGUAGACAUUUGACAUUUGACCGGUCUGUUGUAGACAUUUGACCGUUUUGUUGUAGACAUUUGACAUUUGACCGUUCUGUUGUUGACAUUUGACCGUUCUGUUGUAGACAUUUGACCGUUUUGUUGUAGACAUUUGACCGUUCUGUUGUAGACAUUUGACAUUUGACCGUUCUGUUGUAGACAUUUGACCAUUGUGUUGUAGACAUUUGACCAUUGUGUUGUAGACAUUUUACAUUUGACCGUUGUGUUGUAGACAUUUGACAUUUGACCGUUGUGUUGUAGACAUUUGACAUUUCUGUUGCUCUUAUGACCUGUAGUGGCAAUAUUCUUACCUCUGACCCUAGAUGUGUGUUUGGCAGGAGGGGGGGGGGGGCAGGGAGAAAAUCUGGGAGCUGGAGACUGAUACAUUUUCCCAGAUUUAUCUAUCGCUUAUUUCUCUGCAUAUCUCUCGCUUUGUUCGCACUCCCAUGUGUCAGUGUGUCUAUUCACAGAUUUCCCUGAGUCUCUCUCACACUUUAUUUGCACUCCCUUGUGUCAGUGUGAGUCUAUUCACAGAUUUCCCUGAGUCUGUCUCACACUUUAUUUGCACUCCCUUGUGUCAGUGUGAGUCUAUUCUCAGAUUUCCCUGAGUCUCUCUCACACUUUAUUUGCACUCCCUUGUGUCAGUGUGAGCCUAUUCACAGAUUUCCCCAAGUCUCUCUCACUUUAUUUGCACUAUGCGUGAUGUGAACUACGUUUCGCCGUCUACCUCUCCCAGUGUGCCAGUGUGUGGUGUGUUGUCUAUGACCUACUGUCCCCACCAAAAUCAUCUCCAAGUUGUCAGUCCAAAAAAGUUUUAAAAUAUGAAAAUAAAUCUUGAAUAUAA